rnacentral:rRNA from 1 species
AGUGAACGCUGGCGGUAGGCCUAACACAUGCAAGUCGAACGGCAGCACAGUAAGCGCUUGCUCUUACGGGUGGCGAGUGGCGGACGGGUGAGGAGUACAUCGGAAUCUACUUUUUCUUGGGGGAUAACGUAGGGAAACUUACGCUAAUACCGCAUAUGACCUACGGGUGAAAGCAGGGGAUCUUCGGACCUUGCGCGAUUGAAUGAGCCGAUGUCGGAUUAGCUAGUUGGCGGGGUAAGGGCCCACCAAGGCGACGAUCCGUAGCUGGUCUGAGAGGAUGAUCAGCCACACUGGAACUGAGACACGGUCCAGACUCCUACGGGAGGCAGCAGUAGGGAAUCUUGCACAAUGGGCGAAAGCCUGAUCGAGCCAUACCGCGUGAGUGAUGAAGGCCUUCGGGUUGUAAAGCCCUUUUGUUGGGAAAGAAAAGAAGCAGAUUAAUACCCCGAUGUUUUGACGGUACCCAAAGAGUAAGCACCGGCUAACUUCGUG